rfam:Thermobrachium celere DSM 8682 genomic scaffold, scaffold33
CUCUUAUCGAGAGAGGUGGAGGGACUGGCCCGAUGAAGCCCGGCAACCUGCGAAAAGCAAGGUGCCAAAUCCUGCAGCGAAAGCUGGGAGAUGAGAG